CGGAAGUUAUACAACACCGGCCGGGGGUGCAAUCGAUGGAAGCUACUUUCCGAGUCUCCCAUUCGCCCGCUUGAGAAGAUCGGGAUCUGAGCGGGCAUCCCUACCUGGAUGGCGCUGGCCUCGCGGGGUGUUGGGAUGAGUAAUUCUUGCUCGCUCUUCAUAUUUGCAUCGGGCUAAGGGGCUGCUCUGCAGGUUCCUACCGGCUAGGCGUUUCCAUGGCGAUCGGGGCUUGCAGUUGGGCGAUCGGGGCAUUCGGAUGCAAUCGGCGCAGCAGUGUCGCCUUGGUCCAAAGAACCGUUCCAACAUCAGGCAGUACCGAGCACAGAAACGGUGCUGUUUAAAAUUAGCCUAAGGUACCCGAGGUGGUGGACCAUUAAGGGUAGGAGAAAACCAGACAUCGAUAGGCUUGCUUUCUGAGCAAAGACUUGUUUAUUAAAGCAGGUCAUGCAGAAUCUUCAAGUUUUAGGUGCCCUCCAUAGCAGACUUCCAAGUUUUCACCAAACUGUCAUUUUUAAUAUAAUACAUAGGGUACUGUUGAGUUGACAGGGGGAAAACUGUUUUAAAUGUGUAUAAAAAGCAAGAAGAGUUUCAAUUUGCAGAUCUUUUGUCCAGUGGCAGCUGCAUAUUUGCAGUGAGCCUCGAUCAAGCAUAGCUACUCCUAAAUAUUUGAACCAGUUUGCCUGUUCUUUCUUGUGAUCAGUUAUAUUCUGUGGGUGAGCCUCAGCUUCUUGAAUAAGGGCAGGACUCCUACACAUCCUUAUCUAGGACUUAACCCAGUCAUCUGCUAAAGUGACAUAUGCAGUUUCCUUUGCUCGGAUCUGAACUCCAAAAGAAAGAAAUCUAUUUCCUCUAAAUAGUCUGCAACAGAAAUGGAAGAACUAUCUUCAAUAAUUUAGCCACAGCAAUGGCCUGGUGAUCUGUAUCGACUGUGCUCAACACAGCCUCCAACAGGUAGAAGUUCCCUGCUUCAGCACCUCUCUCGUGUCAUGCAAGAAUUGCAAGCACCAAUCACUUUCUUAUACAUGGCGGAGUCUCUGAAUGACUGAGAUCAUCUUCCUUCAAAAUCAGUAAUCUAAUACUGGACAAUUCAACACACUUUGGCUGCUUCCAAUUAAUGGAGAUUCUGUGUAGGAUCCCCAUUGUGGGGAUGCAAAUACAAAUGCUUUGCUUGCUCACCCACCCGUCAACUCCAGGUUUGUGGCCCAGUUCCUAACAAGCCAGACUGGGUUGGGGACCAUUGGACUGUUGCAUAUCCAUGUUUCUUUUCCUCUCAUGUUCAUUGCACAAACAAUGGAAUGGGGAUAUGAGCCCAAUGGUGUCCCUUUGGGAGAAAUUAAAAAACCCUGCAUCUACUGCAGUCCACUAGUCCAGCAAUGGACCAAUAAAAUAUCAAGGGAUUUUUUUUUAAGUGAUCAUUUUACCAGUAAUACAGCAAUGUUUUACUAUAAAACUUUAUUUUUAUAACUGUAGAUGACUCUUCUUUGGAAACUUUCUAUUUGGCAAUAUGUAAUUAAAAGCAUACACCACCGAUAUAACUUUUGUUUAUAGAAGGGGGAACUACCAGUAGCAGAACAUUUUUUAUAGUCAAAUAAAAUAAUAUAAUGUAGACUAACAAAUGGUUCAAUACUGAGCAGGAAAUAACUCAAAGAUGGAUUGAUAUAUUUAUGGAUAAAUGUAUAGGGAGUGGCUGUAGUGUCAUUAAAGGCUUUUGUUUACAGACAAUGUUGUAUUGUUUACCAACAACCCAAAUUAUUUGCUAAAAUGUAUGUUUGACUAGGGCUCCAGAACUCACCUGGCAUGUUCCUUUACUACAUCAUGUUCCUUGUGAUGAACCCCAUCACCUUUAUGGUAUAACUGAAAUUCUGUUUGAAUCUGCACACUAAAAUAAAUAGCCAAUUAAAUAAAAGCUCUUUCUUCAGAUUGAAUAAAUAUUACUAAUGUAAUGGGGUUUUUAUCUAACCCUCCUAAAAAAAUCCAAUAAUGUUGAGAAAGAAUAUUAAAAUUAUUUUUUAAUCUCAAAGAAAAUAAAUACAUCUAUAUAAAAACACAUAGAGGAAAAAGACAUGGAUAGUUAUGUGAUCAUAAAUGGAAGUAUACAGUAGUCUCUAAUUUGAUAAUAUGUGAUAACCUGUGACUACAUUCUCAUUAUGCCUGGGCAUUUUAGGCCUAUGUCUACUCUACAUUAAGGCGAUCGGAGUUGUAAAGAAAAACAUUUAGGAAGGCUAGUUUAAAAUUCUCCAUAUUUUCCAAUUUAAGUACUGUAUAGAUUGAUUAAGAAACCUCUAAGAGUUUCUCAAACUACUGUAAUUUCAGUUCUCAUACAUAUGAUUUCCAUUUAACUCUAUAAAUCCAAGUUCAUCUUUCUGAAAGUAAACAUUCUCAAAUCCAAUAAAAUCUAUUUAUUGGACAUAAAGGAUAUUCCCCAAGUCAAGCAGAGAACCCAGUUCUAUUUGCCUAUACUCCACAAAAUCCAAGAAUCCUUUCAUCCUUUAAUGAAAGAGCCUUUCAUUAAAAUAACAGAAGUACUAACCCAGUCUUGCAAAUGCCACACUAUGUCCUAAUUACAACAGGCCAAAACCUUUCAAGAAUUGGGGCUACAACUGUACAAAUAUUAAUUAUAGGCCAACUGAAUCUAUCAAAAGUUAGUAUGUUAUGCUAAAAUAUUGUGUUGAGUAAUUGUAUAUAUUGUAUUAUAUAUUGUAUACAGAUAUUUAGCUUAAUGUUUAGUCAUUAUAUUUCUAUGUGAAUUCUUUAAAAAAAUAAACUUUAGGAAAGAAUGUCUAAAAGUGUGUGGCGUGGCCCUCAAUUUAAACUCAUUCAUCAAUGAUUCUAUGUAAGCUUGAAUCAAAUAUUGCUUUAAUCAACAAACCA